UUUAAAUGAAAUUAUCAGUUAAAAACAAUAAUGAAAAUAAAGUAAAGUUAAGAAAAAACAGUAUACGGAUGACUAUAAUAUAUUAAGAUACACAUGCAUAUAUGGUCUGUCAGUCAGCCCGACUGCUGAAGUCAGUGAGUCUUAUAAAUGUAGAGAUACUCCAGCUUUAUUUUCAUCGUUAUUAAUAUUAUUUUCUUUGUUGAAUUUUUUUUAUUUACUUGCCUCGUUUCGCUGGUGUGGUGUUGUUUAAGUUGGGUUACAAGCCAUCGAGGGUUCACAAACAGAUAAACCAAUCAACAAAUAAUAUUCUACAUACAUAUAAACAUGUAUGGCAAAAAAUAAAAGUAUAUAAAUUUAUUUAUUA